UUAAGUAAACUAAAAUUUCCAUUCAUUUAAACAGAUGUAAUAAGACAAUUAGAAUUUUUCACAAGCUUGUGACCAAAUAGUUUCAUAAAAUUAAAUCAAUUUACAACACAGCUUCCACAAACUAGACUCCAGUUGCUGUUCAUUUUAGAUUUCAAGUGUCUACACGUAAAAAAGAAAAAAAAUGACAUUAGAAAACAUAAUGAAACCAUAAAAUAAAUAACAAUAUUUAGAAUUUCAAAUGCAUGAUCCAAAUUCUUAGCUAGGAUCAAAUAAAUUUGGUUUUCAAUAGAAAAAUUCAGACUUUUAAUCUAAAAUAAACACAAAAAUAUAUUUUCAUUUAACAUAUAUUUUUUAAGAGAUUUAUUAACAGCAAUAUUCAAAAUAUAAAAAUUACUCUCUACUUGCAUAAUUGUUUGAUGCAACUUUUAUGUCUACUUUCAUUUAACGACCAAGUGAUCUUUGGAAUAAAGAGAAAGAUAACAAUACAUCAAGAAUUAGCAAGAUCAAAUGGUCUUUUAUUCUUAAAUUUGUUGGCAUUUAUUUGCAAAUAAAAUUAUAAUGUCCUAUUAAUUUAUCCGAUGUACUUCAAAAUUAAUGAAAUAAAAAUUCCCAAUACACAAAUGACAGCAUCUAUCACUAAAGCAAUUUGUGACAAUAGUGAACUGACGUGAAAAGUUUGAAUUGCAGAAGGAAACGAGCCUAAAACCACUUUUGCUAAGAAUUCUUUUUACAAGUUUGCAAGAAAAUAGCUCUUUUAGAAUUUUUAACAUCAAUAGUGUUGGGAAAAUAUGCUCUUUAAAAGCAUAUGUGUUUAUUUAACUGUAAUAAAUAAUUUUUUUGAUUAAUAAAAUAAAUAAGGUAUUUUAUUCAAAUAUCUUAAUUGCAUUAAUAUUUGUAUUACAGUCCAUUUAAUCAUAUUAUAUGUAUUUAUGUGAUCACCAUGUGGAUUCACAGAAGACAUAAAUACAAGUUAUCUUAUGAUUAAAUAAAUUUAGUUCGCAAUUGAUAAAUAAAGUUGGGCACUUUAUUUAGGUAUAGAAUGUAAUAAAUUCAUUGAAUGAUUUGUCUUAAUCAUGUAUGAAUUUAUUGAUGUAGUACAACUACAUUGAACAUGAUCACAUGUGAGAUUUAAUUAACUUUGUAAUAACUGUCAGACUUAUUAAAUCUCAUAGGCAUUGAUUUUACUGUAAUCUUAAUCUUGAAUUAAUUAUGAUUUCAUGAUUGUAAUUGUUAUUCCAUUUGAGUUACCAAUGGGCACGACACAUCCUUGUGGUCAAGAUUACCCGGUAUCUUGGUGGGAGCAAUUAUGAGUAUUGGAGUUAUGGAUUAACAAUAUAGAAUUUGUACAACACAUCUCUUGAUAGUCAGUUCCAAUCUUUUAGUGGAGUAGAUUUGGAAUUAAAUAAUUGGGCUAGUUUAAUUACAGGCCUAAUUAUUGUAGCCACUAUUGUAUGUUCCCAAAUGAUCCCCGGGUUAGCUCAUUUAAUUGACUGCACCACUACUGGACUAAUAAGUAAGAUAACUAGCUAUUUGGGUCAAAAGCCUAAAUAUAUCAUUUAGUGGGAGGCUCUAUUUAAUUAGCUUUUGUAUAAGGGGUCUUAUGUUAUUUUACAAGGUGGGUCCCCUAUUGAAAAAGAAAAUAACGUGAGUUUUAUUUAGAGCAUUUUUUGGAGCCUAGGGUUUUCACUAAAGGGAGAUAUAUAAGGCUUAUUUUCUCUAAAGAAAAAAGAGAAGCCAUUUUAUACAGAUCAGAGAAUAAGAUUUUUCUCUCCAUUGUUGAGAGAAAAAUUUUCUCGUGCUAGUUGCUUUGGUAGUGAUAAAGGCGCCCACACGUUAAGUGCAGAUCGAACCUGAGUCAUAACCUGGAAGAUCAUUGGUGACAGUUCAUGAUCUAACAAGCGUGGUGGUGACGGAUCGUGAUCUAACAAGAGUGGUGGUGGCAGAUCGUGAUCUAGGAGCCUUAAUCACUUCAGCGGAAAGCCAACUCGGAUUUUCAAGGUACGAUUUCUAGAAUACGAAUUCUUAUAUAUUAUAUGAGAGCGAUCUUCAAAAGGUUUUAUAAAAAUUUAAAAACUUGAUUUUUUCCCAUCAAAUAGAACUAAUACAAAAUUAAAUCAAUUUAUAGCUUCCAAAAACUAAACUUCAGAUGUGACUAAUUUGAGAUUUAGAUUUCAUGGAUCUCUGCAUACAAGGGAAAAAAACAAAUGAUAUUAGAAAAAAAGGCCCCAAAAAAAUAUAUAUAUUCAAAUUUCAAAUGCAUGAUCUAAACUCUUAGGCAGGAUUAGAUAUAUAUUGUUUUCAACAGAAAAUUUGAAACUUAAAUAUAAAAUAAACACAAAACUACAUUCUAAUUAUAACAUUUUUUUGAUGAAUUUUUUAACAGCAAUAUUUAGAAUAUAAAAAAUAUUCUCAACUGGCGUACUCAUUCUUUAAAACUUUUAUGUUUACUUUCAUUUAACGAAAAACUGAUCUCAGCGAUAAAGAUAGAAGAGAAUACAUUGAAAUAAAUAAGAAUAAAAUUUCAGUACAAAUUCAUGAUUGCAUGAAUAAUAUACAUCAUGAAAUAGCAUCCUAAUGAAGAGAUCAAAAAACGCAAAAGGAACUAAGCACCUAAAAAGAACUGACAAAAAUUGUAAGCAUAUAGAUUCAUUCGUGAGUAAAACUAAGCACCUAAAAAUAACUGGCAAAAAUUUAUCAGCAAAUAGAUUUAUUCUUAUAAGUAAAAUACAGUCUAAAUCUAAACCUUGUUUAUUUUGGAUGUAUUUUACUAUUUGUUUACUCGUUUAUAAUAGUUUCCACAACUUUUAUAAUUUAUUUUGGACAUAAUGUAUUACAUCCAAACACACUGUUCAGGUAACCAGAGCACUAAUAAAUCACUAGAUUACUAAUUACCAUUGCAUUUGAAGAGUAGGAAUAUCUCUAUUAAUUUUAUAGACUAAUUUUAAAUUUAUCAAUCAGGUAACAAUGUAACUGCAAGUUUCCUUGUACACAUGUUAACAUAGCCCACUCGCGUCUAACCAAAUCUAUCUCUCCUUGGGUGUAACUCUUUGUUCCAUAAAACUAUAAAGUGAGGAAUAUAUUAAUUAGGCAGUUUCAAAAUAUAAAAUAACUAUUUCAUAAUAAAUGACACUACAUUUUCCAAAAUAGAGACAACCAAAAAGCAUUUAGCUACAUCAUUCAUAUGACAUCCAAUACCUAUCCAUCAUACACUCGAAAAUGAAAAAACUGAGGCCUGAAGUUUAGAUUACUACCUUUUAAUAAAAAAAAAAUAACAGCGUGCUUGGAUACUACCUUGCAAAAAUU
rnacentral:lncRNA from 1 species